AGACCCGCUGCCGGGCCGGGGCUGGGCCGGAGCGGCGGCGCCUGGAUGCCGGCCCGGGGCUGGGCCGGAGACUGGCGCCCGCCCCGAAGCGACUUUCGGUCCCCGACCCGCUCCGCCUGACCCCUAUGAUGAAGAGGGCGUCCACUGGAGUUCUUGCUGUCGACAUCUUUGACAAGUUCAACUUCACGGGAGCCAGAGUCCCAUGGUUCGACGCCAUUCAUGAAGAAUUCCCCAGGGAGCUGGAGUCCUCCAUCUCCUUCCCAGCCAACUUCUUCAAACCACCUGAAGAAAAAGUGCUUAGGUAGAGGUUGAGCAUCCUAAUCCUGAAAUCUGAAAUGCUCCAGAAUCUGAACCUUCUUGAGCACCAACCUGACACUUAAAGGAAGUGCUCAUUGGAGGAAGGCCCCCUGGUAAGGCCAGCCAGCCGGAGGACCACCCCGCAGACCACACGCCCAGGGCCUGGCACCGAGGGGGAGGCCCCGAUCAGCAGGUGAAAGCGACACCCUGAUGACACUGGCUAGUUCACCUUCACUCUGGUCAUCGUUUACUGUACCCCGGGGCAGCUCCCGCCUGAGCCCUAUGACCCCAACCGCCGCAGCCUCUGGCUGCCUCACUGGCCCAUCAUUAAUACGUCGAUGGUGAGCGCACUGGUGUACAGCGAGGGGGCUCCACUUCCGAGACCCCUGGAGAGGCCCGUCCUGGUGGAGUUCACCCUGCUGGAGAUGGAGAAGCGAACCAAGCCUGUCUGUGUGUUCUGGAACCAUUCCCUGGCGUAAAUGUGAUGCCGGGAGUUCUGCAUCUUCAUGUGAGGGCUUUGCCAAGACACAGAGAACCCGCAGGGUUGUUGGCUCAGCGGCAGAUCGUCCCACGGGGACAGUCUCUUGUGGUCUGUGUCUCCCCCUUCAGCCCCCUGUGGGGCAGUGAGCCUCCUGCUCUGCUUCUGUGGGUGCAUCAGAGCCCCCCCAGAUGCCCACACGCAGACGCGCACAGGCCUGCACGUGGAAACACAGACAUGCGCACACGCAGGCCCACACACAGACGCACACAGAGCUGCACGUGGAGACACGUGCGCACACGCAGGCCCACACGCAGGCCCACACACAGGUGCACGCGGACCUGCACGUGGAGACACAGAUGUGUGCACAUGCAGGCCCACACACAGGUGAGCGUGGACCUGUGUGAACAGAUGCGCGCAGACCUGCACGUGGAGACACAGACAUGCAGGCGCACAAAGAGAUCCCUCAAGGCUGACACCCAGGAAGGGGCCUCUCACUUGUGGGACUCCCGAGAUGCAGUGGCCAACACGAGUGUAGUGCCCAGUUCACUGCUGGAUAAGACAGAGGCCUGUUCUGGUCACACAUGGGAGGCAGAACCCAGAGACUGGGCCCAGGAGCCCUUCUGCUGACAGUGGGAACUCCCAGCUACGUGUGGGGGUCCCCAUACCAGACAAAGGUCCCUGACCUUAGUCUUGCCCGAGAGGCCGACACAGCCCAGCUUUGGGGUCUGGCUUUACCCACAAGAGGCCACACCUUGCCACAGCACUGUUUAUCUGGCCUGUUUCAGAAGCACCGUCAGAGUGGCGAAGGCAGGAGGUGGUGCACGAGAGUCUACGUUCUAGCAUCCAUUCAAGUGAGGGAAAGGCGUUUCGUACUUAGAAAAAUGCAAAAUUAAUGAUUCUCACCCACACAUGAGACUGUGGAUUCACCCAUGUAUGAGAUAGUGGAUUCAGAGCCAUGCUGUGGCUCUCAUCUGCUGGGAGCCAGUAGUGUUUGUGCUUUGGUUUUGCUUUUUUAGCUACAUGGUUUAUGUGAGGUGCGGACUUACUUGAGUUGCUCUGUCUUUACAGGGAGCUUGCUUUUUCUCUGCUGGUUUGUUUUCACUUUUGCUGUCUCUGUUUAGAAGAAAACAUUAGAACUGGGGUGUGGUGGAAGGAUGGGAGCACAAUCUGGGAGGGGAAGACCUGCUCUCUCUCCACAUACCAGGAGGGAGUGGCAGGAAGGGGAGACACUGUGCCGGACUCAGGGAGUCAAGAGCGUGAGCACCCCCAGGCUUCAAUCUGCUGAACGUUGUGCAUCUGGGGGCGCCCGUGCAGCAGGAACACUCUCCCCAUCACAAUUCCUCUGGGCACAGUGGAGAGCCAUGAGUGGGGGCUGUCCUGGGGGCUGCGCUAUGGUGAGUGAGCCCACGCCAGGAGCCAGUUCAGCCCAGCCUCAUUCUUCUCCUGCUUCUUUGCUUUCCAAGUUCUAGUUCAUAAGCAACCAGCACAGUACCUGGAAUGUAAGAGGCGCUUGGCUUAUAAAAGAGAGAAGAAAGGAACCCCUUUCACCACGAGGGACGUCAGGCCCAGCUCUCUGUCCCGGGCAUUCAUCUUUUUUCCGGCAAUUAGCUUCAGCUCUAAUGACCUGCUGUCUGCUUUAUGUUGCACCUAUGAUUUCCAGAUUGUAAAGUUUGUGGCAAAUGUAUUAACGUUCACAUCCCAUUUACAGAUUAGCAAACUAAGGAUCUGAGAGGUUAUGUGAUUUUCCCAGUCUGGCGGAGGGCAGGGCCCUGUCAGAAGCCGAGACACACCUCGUAACAGCUUGUUAUUUGGGGCUUCCCAUCAGUGAGGCAGGAGUCAUAAUGGGGCCCUGGCUUCUGGGCAAUUCCCAUAAAACAUUGUGCCACCUGAAGAUGGAAGUGUCAGAGGAAGGCGAGAUGUUAUUUCUGAAAGCAUCUACCCUCAGAAAGAGACAGAGGAGUGCAUCGCAGCUGUGUGAACCCGGGGUGGUGGUGGUUCCAGCAGCGGGGCACGUGGUGGACGCAAGACGGCCCCGUUUGAGUUUUGCUGCUAGGUGACAUGUAGAACUUGAACUUCAGAGGGUGCUCCUUGGAGGCCCUGAUGAGAGAGACACAGAAGGGAAGGGAGACUGUUCCCAUGGUCCUGCCUCUGCGGCAGCGAGCCUGCUGCUCUUGCAGCUGGGUGGCUGUUCGGUGCAGGGGGCCGGUGAGGAACACGGUGGGGAGCAGCCUGCGAGGGCGCCGGGCUUUCAGCACUCACUAUACCUGCUGUUUGGUUUGGCCAGGAUGGCCUGGGAGUCCCCAGGGCCGGGCAAAGACUGCCCCCAACAGACAUGGGCGGAGGGAACCGUCUCACCCCUGCCUCUUCUCCCUUCUCUACGCAGUGUCAGUGGGACGGGAGGGUGGUCUGCCCGGGGCUUCAAGCUCCUGUCCAGGAACCGGACCCAUGUCGUACGCCAGUGCAGCCACACGGCCAGCUUCGAGGUGCUCAUGGACGUCUCCAGGUGUGAGAUGGGCAUCUUCUUGUGGCCACUAUGCCCGCUGAGCCUACCCCCAAACCUGCCCCUCCUCAAACUAAAUCUUCCAUUCUAAGCGCUUUGAACGAAGCAAAUCAACCAAUUAAAAAAAUAUAUUCCAGGAUUGGCCAGAGUCUGUGAAGAUUUCCAUAACAAAUCCCCGUUACAAGGGUUUUCAGAGAGCCCUGGUUGUGCAUUAAACCCCGCGAUGGCAAACCCAAAGCUCAGGCUCUGAGGAGCUCUUGGAGUCUGCCCCUCGCUUCAGAGAUGGUCUGUGCGAGGGUGCCGCUCUCCUCCCGCUUUGAUCAUAAGGAAGGUGACAGCUGCUGGGGACGGUAGGCACUCUCCCUCAGGGCCACAAGCUGGGCUGCAGGAUAAAAGACUGGGCGGCUAAUGUUUAACCUCUGGCAUUUUAAGCGGCCUGGGAGUGUGAGCCGGCCAUUGUGGGCCUGCAGAUGAACUGGGGAGUGGCCCGAGUGCUGUCCUCGGCAGGACAGUGCUAUCCAGCCAGGAAGUGGGUGGCAGCCAGCCUGGGAGUGGCCUAUGUGGGACCCUCCUGUCUAGGAGUCAGAGCCAGAGGCCUGGGUGGCCUCCCCUGGCCCCUCCCCAGGGCUGCGCUGUAGCUCAAGGGCCCAGGCCACCAUCCUUCCCGAGGGCUUUCUGAUGUGAAGUGGCCCUGGUUUCUGUCACAGUCUUGGAAGGACCAAGAGCAGUGAUGACCUUUUAGCUGGAAUGGCCAGAGGGGUAACGGUGACUAAUGGUGUUAAAGGGAAGGAAAGCUCCUGCCCAUCUGCAGCACCUUCGGCAUCUGCCCCUGCCAUGACCACUGUGGAGAACAAAUCCAAGAUUAGCACAGGUAUGGGUGACAUUCAGUCUGAGACUUCAACUGCUUUUUUGUUUGAAUAGGCAGGAUGCAUUGGUGUUUACAGUGUUCCAUCUCAUUAUAGGAAAUUGUAGACAUACAAAAGUAGAUGGAUUGAUAUUUCAGCCCAAUACGCUCAUCACGCUCAUCACCAUUAUCAGCUCACAGCCAGUUGUAACUCUGUGAUACCCACCCUCCCCUCUUAUUAUUUUGAAGCAGAUUCUGGACAUCAUAUCAUUUCAUCCAUAAAUAUUUUAUUAUCUUGGAAAGAGAAGGAUUCUUUUAAAAAUAUAAUCCUAAUACCAUUAUCAGUCCUUAAAAUAAUUGAUAAUCAUUCCUUAAAUCAUACCUUAUUCAAUGAGUAUUUAAAUUUCUAACAGUCUUAUAAAUAUUUUUGUUUUAUUUACUAUCUAUUUUUAUGUUUGGAUCAGGACUCCCAUAGGUCCAUAUAUAAUUGGCUGAUGUGUCUCUUAAAUCUUCUUUUUUAAAUCUAUGGGUUUAACCCAAUUCUUGCAGUUUAAUUUUUGUGGAAGCUGGUCACGUGACCUAUAGAGUUUCUGAGCAUGUGGAUUUUUAUAUCACAAUAUCCCCAUGACGUUUUUGCCCAUCACCCUUUGUUGUGUGUAUUUAUUGUAAAUGGCAUUGGAGACUUAUGGGACAGAUUCAGGUCCCCUGUCCCCCCAAUUUGAAAAAAAAAAAAAAAAACAACCAAAACACCAUGUUGACCAGGCUGAUGUCGAACUUCUGACCUCAGGUGAUCCGCCUGCCUUGGCCUCCCAAAGUGCUGGGAUUACAGGCAUGAGCCACCGCAUCAUUUAAAUGUACUGAAAGUCCAGGCAUGGUGGUUCAGAGCUAUAACCCUAGUACUUUGAGAGGAUGAGGCAGGCAGAUCACCUGAGGUCAGGAGUUCAAGACCAGCCUGGCCAACAUGGCAAAAUCUUGUCUCUACAAAAAAAAAAAAAAAAAAAAAAUUAGCCCUGCGUGGCGGCGCACGGCUCUAGUCCCAGUUACUUGGGAGGUUGGGGCAUGAGAAUCCUUUGAACCCCGGAGGCAGAGGCUGCAUGCAGUGAGUUGAGAUGGCACCACUGCACUCCAGCCUGGGCGACAGAGCAAGACCCUGUCUCUAAAUAAGUAAAUGUUGCCGGUAAUCCUAGCACUUUGGGAGGCUGAGGCGGGUGGAUCACCUGAAGUCAGGAGUUCGAGACCAGCCUGACUACUAUGGUGAAACCCCGUCUCUACUAAAAAUACAAAAAUUAGCUGGGCAUUAUGGCAUGUGUCUGUAGUCCCAGCUACUCAGGAGGCUGAGACAGGAGAAUCGCUUGAACCCAGGACGUGGAGGGUGCAGUGAGCCGAGAUUGAGCCACUGCACUUCAGCCUGGGUGACAGAGUGAGACUCCAUCUCAAAAAAAAUUAAAUAAAAUAAAAAAUAAAAAUAACAGCUCCCUAACAGCUCCGGAAAGAUAAACAGAAAACAGAAAAUGACAUGCUCAGCCCUUGAGGCCAAAAUGCCCUUCCCCAGAGCAGCUGCCAGAAGACAGGGAGCAGGAUCGGGUUGGAGGUCACUUCUGGGUGAGGGGGAGAAUGGUCAGACCCGUGGCAGGGGUGUUGGAGCCUGGUCGGCCUCACUGGAACAGAAGAGAGCUGCUUCAUGAUGCUCAACUGACAGGCAGAGCCUCGCAUAACCCAAGUUCUCAUGGUUCAGAGAGGCCAGCCAGUGCGGGGACAAAGACAGGCACGCACUGAAAUGGUUUCCUGGAAGACGGCCCGGUUGCAUCUCUCAAACGGGACCAGAUUGGAAGGGAGACCAGCUGCUUUGGGCAACCGAGGCUGCUUCUGGGUGAACUCCCAAACUAGAUGGUGCCGAGAGCCCUGGACCUGGCAGCUGGGCUGGACAUCACAUGGCUCUGUAUUCCAGGAAACGGCAUCUCAGUGCUUGUCUGGCCAGUUCUCCAAAAGAACCAUCCACAGGCCAUUUUUCCAUUCCCUUCCUAUGCACAGACUGGGCUGGGCCUGAUCAGAAAACUCUCCCUUAGGGUUUUCAGUCACUGGCGAAACUUGAGCCCGGCACUGAGGAUAGGAUGUUAAAAUGUGACUCUGGGCCAGGCGGCGGCUCAUGCUUGUCAACCCAGUGCUUUUGGGAGGCUGAGCUGGGAGGGUCACUUGAGGUCAGCAGUUCAAGACCAACCUGAGGAAAAUAGAUCUCUACAAAAAAAUAAAAAUAAAAAUUAGCCAGCUCUGGUGACAUGCACCUGUAGUCCCAGCUACUUGAAAGGCUGAGGUGGCUUGAGCCCAUGAGUUCAAAGCUACAGCUAUGAUGGUGUCACUGCACUCCAGCAUGAAAAACAGAGUGAGACCAUGUCUUGAAAAAAGGAACAAACUAGGCAUAGAAGAAACAUACCUGAAAAUGGCCAGGCCCAGUGGCUCAUGCGUGUAAUCCCAGCACUUUGGGAGGCUGAGGUGAGUGGAUCACCUGAGGUCAGGAGUUCGAGACCGGCCUGGCCAACAUGGUGAAACCCCAUCUCUACCAAAAGUACAAAAAUUAGCCGGGCGUGGUGGCGGGCGCCUCCCAGCUACUCCGGAGGCUGAGGCAGGAGAAUCACUUGAACCUGGGAGGCAGAGUUUGCUGUGAGCUGAGAUUGCACCAUUGCACUACAGCCUGGGUGACAAGAGCCAGAAUCCAUCUCAAAAAAAAAAACCUAGAAAUAAUAAAAGCUGUAUACGACAAAGCCAUAGCUAACCUACUACAGAAUGGGGAAAAGUGAAAAGCGUUUCCUCUGUAAACAGGAACAAGACGAGGAUGCCCGUUCUCACCACUUUUAUUAGACAUCACACAAAUAUGCAAGAGAAAAAAAUAAAAGCCACCCACACUGGAAAAGAGGACAUCAAAUUAUCCUUGUCUGAUGAAGAUGUGAUCUUGGAUUUACAAACAUGUAAAGCCUCCACCAGAAAACUCUAGACUUGAUAAAUAAAUUAAUACAGUCAUUUGCAGGAUACAAAAUCAACAUACAAAAAUCAGCAGCAUUUUAUACACCAAUAAUGGUCUAGGAAAGAAAUUAAGGAGGCAAUCCCAUUUACAAUAGCAACAAAAUGAAAAAUGAUAUGCCACAGAGGAAAUUUUACCAAGGAGGUGAACGAUUUCUACAAGGAAAACUACAAAACACUGAUGACAAAGUUUAAGAGGACGGAAAGAAAUGGACAGUCAUUUCAUGCUCAUGGAAGGAAUUCAUAGCAUUAAAAUGACCACACUGCCCAGAGCAGUCUAGAGAUUCAAUACAACCCCUACCAAAAUACCAGUGUCAUCUCUCACAGAACUGGAAAAUCGUAAAACUCAUAUGAAACCAAAAAAGAGCUCAAAGAGCCAAAGUCAUCCUCAGCAAAAACAACAAAACUAGAAGCACCCCAUUUCACUGCAAAUUAGAAUGACAAAAUUUUUGACAAGUGCAUGGUAACCAAAACAGCAUGGUCCUAGCAUAAAACUAGACACAUAGAUCAAUGGGACGGAUGACAGAGCCCAGAAAGACAGCCACAUAGUCUUGGGGCUUGUGUCUCUCCUGCUGUGCAUCCAUGCUGGGUGCUUUACAUACAACAGGCAGACAAGAAGUCCCUGUUGCAAGUGAGGACAAAGUGUGGGAAGGCCGUGAGGGUCUGCAGUCCCAGAUGGCCUUGGCCUCACCCCGCAGUGCGCUUUUGCACCAGAGUGCCACCUUCUUCUCCAGGUCCAGGUCUUCAGCAGUGACCCCAGACCCCAGCUGUAAGGGAGGUGGCAGCAUCAGAGGCUCCCCUUGCCUGAGUGGCAGCAGAGGAAACUUGCAUCUAUGGGGCCUAGAGGCCUGGGAUGUGGGGGAGCCAUUCCUGGGGGCAAGUGUCUGCCCUGGUGCUGCAUCUGCUGCCUUUUCACACUGGGUGAGACCCCAAGAGACAGCCUGAGGCCGGUCCUCACUCACUGUCUUUGAGGACCUGAGGGGCAGCUGACAGUGGGAUGAGGCUGGCCCCCUCCUCUUUGGUGACAGGAAGCCUCCCAUGGAACUGUAGGAGCUCACGAUGGCAUUUUGUUUGGUGCACGAACUCAUCCAGGAGGUCUGGGAUCUCUGGUUUUAUCCGACUUCUGACCUCUGGGCAUGGAGGUCUCUCUGCAGAGGCCCAGGCCUGGGCACGAAGGGAGAGAGGCCUCCAUUGUCCCACAGGGGCCUAAAUGCAGACUGUGCAUCCCCGGUGCCCUCAGGAACCCUUCUCUGAUCAUCAGGAUUCUCUUGGACUCUGGGGUCCUUGUCCUGCUCAGGCAUCCCUGCCCCCCUCUUCAGGAGGGCCCUCAACACGAUCUUCUCUGGACAGGAGUCUGGGGCACAACUGGAUGUUGUGGGCCCCAAAGGGGUGACUCCCUGCUCCUGGGCCCCACAGAGAGUCCUUGUGCUCAGUGCACUGGCUGAGCUGCAAGACAUCCUGGAAUUGGGAGCACACAGCACCGGCUUGCUGUGGUACCUGUGCAUUCAAAUUGAAGGCAGGAUCGCCAGCAAGGAACACAGGGCUUGCAGGAUCACAGAAAACCCUUGGAGUUGUUUUGACACACCACUGAUGCCAAGUGUCUGGGUACUUGUAGGAUGGCCCUGCCAUUCCAUCCAGGGGCAGUGGCAACAGGGAGAUUCCACAAACAAAGUGAACUGGGGGAUGGGAUGAGCAGGCUCCAGGCAACUGAGCCCUACUGGCAGGCCCUUGGCCCCCGGGGCCGGGACAGGGGUGACAGACACAGAGUGCCCAGGUAACCACUCCUGGGAGCAGUGGGGAACCGUCGGAUGCUUCAACUCUUGAGAGCUGGGCUCUAAGCAUCCGCCUUAGCUGCCAACUUGGCCAAAGGCUAUGCGAGCAGUUUCCCGUUGACGGGCAAUGCAUCUUUCCAACCUGAGCGAGUGGGUGUGUGUGCAAAGAUGGUGCGAGUCACGGAUCUGCGCAGGAAGGGUGACUUUAAGGGAUUAGCAUGGCCAGGUAUGCACACAAGGCACCUGCUGGCAAUGCCUUGGUGGGGAGCGGGCAGUGCACACAAGAGGUACUGGAGGGAGAGGCGCGCGGGAAGAACAGGCGCGCACAAUGGCUGCAGAUCCACCUGUGGAUCGCUGAAGAUUCCUGCUGAGGGUUGAGGCUGCUGGGCUGGAGGACUGUAUGGUCCAUGCAUUGUAAUGUCCCCUUCUCUCCCUGGCCCGGAGCCCCAAGAGCUAUCCGGACUCUCUCCAAGACCUGGUUCUGGCCCAGCAAAGAGGUCUCGGCAGGGGAGCAGGAUUCCCGGCCCAGCAGCUGGCUCAGGAGGUGACAGCUUUGGGAUUCGCAUCUGAGCAUCCUCCUACUCUUCUCCUGGGAACUCUGUUGGGGAGGGUUGCUCAGAACAGAAGUGCCUGGGACGCCCAGAUCCUGCUGGAGUGGCAGCUGGGGUGAUGGCCAGGGCAGGCUGGGAGGGACAUACUUUCCAUAGGACCCAGUGCUUUCAUCUCCGUGCAACUGACCAAGAGAAACCAAACCCAAACUCCUUCCUUUACACAGACCUAUUUGAGGGAGGCUGGGUAUUGUUUGUGUAUUUCAACCUAACAAGAUUUUGAGAUAGUUGGAAUGCAGAAGGAGACAGGAGGACUCAAGUGUCCUGUCUUUUGCAAAAAUGUCAAACGUAGCUACUCAGUCUCUUUUUUGUUUUUUUGUUUGUUUUGAAGACUAUGGUUAUUUUGCAAAAUAUAUAUUAUUUGAGUUUCUCUAGGUGCUAUUUUUAGAUAAAUUAAUAUACUUUUUUCAUCAGCACAUGAAACGUUCUUCAAAACAGAUCCUUUGUUAGUCCACAAAAGCUGUCCCUACACAUUUUAGGAAAUCAUAAUCAUAAUCAUUCCAAAGAUCAGACAACAGAGGAAUAAACCUAGAAAUGGACAUCAAGGCAAACUACAGAACCUAUACGCAUACAUGAAAAUUAAACCCCACCCUCCUGAAUGAGCACUGAUUCAAUGAAGAAAUUAAAAUGAAAAUCCGAAAAUGUUUUCAAACAAAUGAAAAUGGAAACAUCAUAUACCAAAAGCCUUUGGAUUCAGCAAAAUCAGUGCUGUGAGGGAAGGUUGUAGCAAUAAAUACCUACAUCCAAAAAGUAGAAAGAUGAAAAAUUAAUAAACUUAUGAUGCACCUUAAAGAACUAGAAAAGCAAGAACAAAGCAAAACCAAAAUUAGCCCAUGAAAAAAAUAAUAAAGAUCAGAGGAGAACUAAAUAAAAUAGGGUCUCAAAAACAACACAGAAAUCAAGAAAAGGAAUUACUGGUUCUUAGCAAGAAAAACACACUUUGGGUAUUUCCUUUUUUUUUUUUUUUUUUUUUUUGAGAAAGCUUUUUUUUUUGAGAAAGCGUUUUGCUCUUGUUGCCCAGGCUGGAGUGCAGUGGCAAGAUCUCCACUCAAUGCAAGCUCCACCUUCCAGGUUCAAGUGAUUCUCCUUCCUCAGUCUCCUGAGUAGCUGGGUUACAGGUGCUAACCACCAUGCCCAGCUAAUUUUUGUAUUUUUAGUAGAGACGGGGUUUCACCAUGUUGGUCAGGCUAGUCUCAAACUCCUGACCUCGUGAUCUGCCCGUGUCGUCUCCCAAAGUGCUGGGAUUAUAGGUGUGAGCCACCGUGCCUGGCCUCAAAAUAUUCUUUUGAGGGACUCUUGCAUACAAGCCCCAAGAGGCAGGUGCAAAAAUGUCCAUAGAAACACAGUAAUAGAAAAAAAGAAAAUCCAGACUGAUUCAAAUGUCCAUUAACAGGAGAAUGAAUAAAUUAGUUGGAAUCUUCUUUUCUUUUCUUUUCUUUUCUUUUUUUUUUUUUUGAGACGGAGUUUCGCUCUUGUUGCCCAGGCUGGAGUGCAAUGGCACAAUCUCAGUUUGUGGCAACCUCCGCCUCCGGGGUUCAAGCCAUUCUCCUGCCUCAGCUUCCUGAGCAGCAGGGAUUACAGGCAUGCGCCACCACACCUGGCUAAUUUUGUAUUUUUAGUAGAGACGGGGUUUCUCCGUGUUUGUCAGGCUGGUCUCAAACUCCGGACCUCAGGUGAUCCGCCCGCCUCGGCCUCCCAAAGUGCUGGGAUUACAGGCGUGAGCCACCACUCCUGGCCAUUAGUUGGAGUCUUCUUAUACAGUGGUGAGACUGAAUCAGCCACAGUUGCACAACAGAAUGGAUGAAGCUUAGAAGUAAUGUUGGGUUUAAAUGGCCAGUCCCAGGCUGUUACAUUUACCAUUUGCAAUAACAAUAGGAACUAAGGUAACUGAAGAAUCUAACAAAAACUAUGCAAGACCUGUAUAGAAAAAUUAUAAAACUUGAUUGAAAGACAUUUAAAAAAUCUAAAUAAGAGAGAUAAUACAUAAUCUACUCUUUGUGGAUUGGGAGAUUCAGUAUUAUAAAGUUGUCGAUUCUCCCCAAAUUGUUCUACAGAUUUAAUGCAAAUCCAGUAAAAAAUUCAACAAGAGGCUGGGCGCGGUGGCUCAAGCCUGUAAUCCCAGCACUUUGGGAGGCUGAGGCAGGCAGAUCACAAGGUCAGGAGAUCGAGACCAUCCUGGCUAACAUGGUGAAAUCCCGUCUCUACUAAAAAAAAAAAAAAAAAAAAAAAUGAGCCAGGCGUGGUGGCGGGUGCCUGUAGUCCCAGCUACUCAGGAGGCUGAGGCAGGGAAUGGUGUCAACCCAGGAGGCAGAGCUUGCAGUGAGCCGAGAUCGAGACACUGCACUCCAGCCUGGGCGACAGAGCGAGACUCUGUCUCAAAAAAAAAAAAAAAUUCAGCAAGGGGUGUGUGUGUGUGCCUGUGUGUGUGUGUGUGUGUGUGUGUAUGCAAGCCAUAGACAGAAUACUUUUUUUUUCUUUUUGAGACAGAGUCUCACUCUGUCGCCCAGGCUGGAGUGCAGUGGCUCGAUCUUGGCUCACUGCAACCUCCGCCUCCCAGGUUCAAGUGAUUCUCCUGUCCCUGCCUCCUGUGUAGCUGGGAUUACAGGUGUGCACCACCACAUCUGGCUAAUUUUUGUAUUUUUAGUAGACACAGGGUCUCACCAUGUUGGCCAGGCUAGUCUCCAACUCCUGGCCGCAAGUAAUCUGCCCACUUCAGCCUCCCAAAGUGUUGGGAUUAUAGGCGUGAGCCACCGAGCCCAGCUAGUACACAGAAUACCAUUUUUUACUUAAGUAUAUUAAUCUAGAAGAGUUUUUUUUAAAAUACAGUAUACCAUUUUUAUCUAUAACACUUAAAGACAAUCAAAGCCAAAUUAUGCUGUUUCAAGAUACCAUAUACUUAGAAAAACAUCUAUAAAAAGCAAGAGAAACAUACAAAUCAGGCCCAUCUGGAGAGAAGGGAGUGAAGCAUUGCGCUGAUACGGGGAUAAAUAUGCUGGUUGGGUAGACAGGCAGUCCUUAUGCUUUUGGCUGACGUAGAUGUUACGUACUAUUUCAUGUGUUAUCACACUCUCCAGUAAACACGUAACAUAAGAGAAUAAUUAACCACUAUCAAGCGUUCUCAUCUUGAGACAGGAAGAUGUAGAGGAAAGACCUUGAUGUGUGUGUCAGUUACAAGGAUGUACACCAGUGACUGACAUGACUUGGUGCAAAUCUUGGGUAGAGACCUAUACUUAAGCUCCUCACCCCCACCUGCCGAGGCGUAAGGGCUCAGAGGGGGUUCCAUGGGGUGGGCGGGAGUGGUAAGGGUCGAGGUGCAGCCACAGCCUGGCUCUGUGCACACCCCCUCCCUCCCCCUGGUCCCAUGUGCACACCCUCUCCCUGCCCCCUGCCCCUUGUGCACACCCUCUGUACCCCCCUUCCCGCCCCAGCCUGUGUUUGCAGUGCUACAGGGUGGCUGCAGCCUUUGCCUCCCACAGCUCCUCAAGGUCAGAGGGCUGGGAACCCCUGGGAUGUGGCUGGGAUGAGGACCCUGCCCCUCCUCAGGCAUUUCCAGGCAAGGGGCACAGAGACACAGCCAGCCCAGCAGCUGAGCCCCUCCUAUCAGGCCAGGUGGGAAACUGAAGCAUGAACACAACCCCAGACUGGAAAUAAAAAGCCGUCAUGUACUGUGUGCCUACUGAAUGCCAAGCCCUAUGCCCUAUUCUUUAAUGUCAUCUUUAAUGAGAUGUCUUCACUCAGUUCACCACAUGAUAGUAGACAGGUAUUUAUGAUGCGCCUACUGCAUGCUGGGCACUUUUCUGGGCCAUGAGGACUCAGGGAGGUCCCUGCUCUGGUAGAAGUCAAACCCGACAGGAGACAGAGACUAGGGGCCCACACACCAGGAGGAAGAACCCAGUGCAGAGAGUGCCAGCAGGAAGCCACAGGGGCAGGGAAGGCGCUCCUGGGAGGGUGGGUGGCUGCGUCCUGAGGCUGAGCAGGGGGAGCUGGCCUCGGGACAGGAUGUGCGCAGGCGUGGAGCAGGAAGUUCCUGGAAUGAUGGGCAAGAGGGAGCAGGUCACUGGGGGCAGGUCUAAAUACUGGGGGCUGCAUUGGGAUAGCAGAGGCCUCGGACAGGCCCGCUCAGCAUGUAGACUCCCCUCCCUGGCCCCUUCCCUAGGAUGACAGUGGAGGUCCAUCCCCAGGUGGUGGUGAGGGCAAUCCUGACACAGAGACCCCAGCCCAGCUGGCAGGGGAAGGGGAGCCCCCAAGGACCCCUGUAUGUUGGGGCGUGUCCCGCCAGGCGGCCCUCCAUGGUGCCCAGCAGCAGCCCUGCUUGCGGACCCUCUUUAGUCCCCACUGUUAAAAAAAUAAUUCAGUGAAAAUUGACACUAGCUGGGCAUGGUGGUAGGUGCCUAUAAUCCCAGCUACUCGGGAGGCUGAGACGGGAGAAUCGCUUGAACCAGGGAGUCGGGAGGUUGCAGUGAGCCGAGAUGGCGCCACUGCACUCCAGCCUGGGUGACAGAGUGAGACUCCGUCUCAAAAAAAAAAAAAAGAAAAAAGGAAAAAUGACACUUGCCAAAGCGCUGUAGGGAAGACUGUCCAGGACCGUGUCACUAGGCAUAAGGGACCACGGUGAUGAGAUUCUGCAGUGGGUAAGAGACUGGGCUCAGCCUCGAAUACAGCAUGGGCAAGUGGGAUCGGACCGUCAAGGAGCAGGGGGAAGACUAUCCAGGACCGUGUCACUAGGCAUAAGGGACCACGGCGAUGAGAUUCUGCAGUGGGUAAGAGACUGGGCUCAGCCUCGAAGACAGCAUGGGCAAGUGCGAUCGGACAGUCAAGGAGCAGGGUGGGGGGCAGCGCAUGGAAAGUGACUAAGAGGAAGCAUCAGCAGCCAGGGAUUCUGGCUUAACUCCCCUAACAGAAUUCUUGCUGAAGGCCGGCCAGGAUGGCCAGACCGCACCUGGGGGACAGAGGGGGAACCCGAUCAGAUGUCAAGGACGGGGGGCUUCUCGCUAAACUGACUUUGCAGGAUUCUUGCUAAAACUAGAGUUUAUAAGGAAGUGCUCAGAUGUGCCUAGGAGAAGGCUCAGGAGCCUAAAUAAAGCUUGACCAAGCAGAGAAUCUUUGUCACCAGCUGUGGUGAGAGUGAGGCCCAGAGUGGGUCAGGGCUUACCUGCUCAGGUUGUGCAAUUGGGAGGGGUCCAUCAGGAGCCCGGAGUCUUCCCACUGGGGGCUGAGUCUGGGCCCUCAGGGCACAUAUAGGUAGAUGCUGUCAGACCCGACACCCCAUGCAGUGCAGACUGGGAUGCUGGUGCCUGUGGCACAGACUGGUCAGACCCACCCCAGGCUAGACAUUCCUUGCAGGGAGAGCUGAGGCUGCUGACACCAGGAACAGACAAACAAGGUCAUCACCAGGUAAUGAGCUUGUUACCCACAUCAGGCAAGGCCAUUGCUGGGUAAUGAGUUGGCCUCCUGCAGAGCCACCUGCGCUGGGAUGGUUCCCAGAGAUCUGGCUAGCCAGUGCCACAGGAGGCCGGGGCACAGUUCCAGGGCCUAGUGGGCAAGGCAGGGGUAUUCAGGGACAAGGUGCACCUGAGUCCCCACAGGAAGCCCCAGACCCUGCAGUAAGACCUGGAACAAGUCAUUCUCCUCUCUAAGCUCUCAAAGAAGAGGUCAGCUCAGGGGUCUGGGAGGCAAGGUCUCCUAGAGUAGACUAAGCUGGCCGCUGCCAUGCUAACACACACCCUCCCAGCCAGCCGCUGGUCCUGACAGAUGAGGAAACUGAGGCUAGGUGUUUUCAUGAGGCCUCUGAACCCAGAACCCAGUACCCAGUGUCCUGAGCAAAGCCCAAGCCAGACCUGCCAGCUUAUGUGUACAGAGGCCCCACUAUGCAGCCUGCACUCCUGGGGCCUAAAAGGACCAUCACCUCCCCUUCUAAGAGGCUGGGCACAGGGGCUGGGUCCCAGCCAGGCCACCCUUCCUCCUCCUCCAAAGGCCCAGCAGCAGCUGCUCCCAGAGCAAGCAGCACAGUCGCAGCAAAGGCUGGACAAGUGUCCUGUGCUCUGUGGUCUGAGCAGAGGGCCAGGGGCCGUGACCCACAUGGCCCCUCCAGGAGCAGCUCCAAGAUGAGCCUUCCUGUCCCCACCAGUGUGUCCGGGACCUCAGGGUGGAUCAGCCGCACCUGCCGGCUGCUCCUGUUCCUUGCUCUUCCUGGGGCUCCCCACCACCUUUGGGAGGCAGCUCCAAGACCCUGCUGCCUCCCUUGCUUACCCUCAGGCCCCUGCUGGGUGUGCCCCCUCCCCACACAGACCCCUGAGCCAGCUUCGAGGACUCUGCCUGCAUCUCCACGUCCACUCUGAUGACUGUGAAGCUACAGUCACACUCUCCGCCUCCACCCCCGCCCUGCCGGGUCCCUGCAGCAGCUCUCAGAGGCCCCCACAGCCCCUCCCACACACAGAGCUCGCCUGGCCCUGCCGUCUGAGCGCUCCCCUGGCUCCCAACCGCCCUUGGGCUCUGGGACAUAAAACCUCCAGCCAAGGUGGCUGCCAAGUUUUAUUUAAUAGCCAUAGAGCACAAAAGGGAUGACAAUUAAGUCACACGGAGAGACUGCCCCAUCGGGACCCCUGGCCAAGCUAAGCAGAGGAGCCCUGGGGUUUCCUCUGACCCCCCACUGUGAAUGCAUUACUGACGGGCAAGGUGGCCAGUUGCCCACCCAGCCUGCACGUCUGCAUGCACAGAGCUACAGCCUGGGCCCAGGGACAGCCCCGGGAGCCGGUGGCUUCCCACAGGCACAGCCAGCCUCCCCACCCCCACCAUGCCUGGCCCCCGGCCCAGGGCACACUGAGGGGAACAGGAGGGGAAGGAGCAGGCCCUGCACUGGAGCCUCAGUCAGCUCCUCUGUGCCAGGGGCAGCUGGAGCUGGCUGAAUUUGAGGAACUUCCCGGAGGAACUGGAGAGCAGACCUGUGUGCGCGCCCCGCUCUGCCACGUUCCCUGAGGGACACACUGCUUUGACCAGCCCCCACCCCAUCUCCUCUCCGCCAGUCCCCGGUGUCCACCCCAGCCCCGCUACCGAUGAAGCUCAAGCCAGGGUCCCCAUCACCUGCUUCACGGCCAUCCCUGCACUUGAGCUCAGGGGCUCAGGGUUGUGCUGACACGCCUGCCUGUCCACCCCUCACCGACACCUCUGCAGUCCUCCUCAGGGCCCAACAGGACCCCCAGGACCCCGCUCCCAUUCUGCCCUUGCUCCUGCCAACCUGUCUUCUCUAUGCCCAUGACUUUGGAACCCUCUGCCACAAGUGCCAGCCCCCACAUCUGUAGCCCCUGCAGGAACAAGCCCUAAUCUGGACUCAUUGCAAUGGCUCAGCUUCUCUUCCAACCUGUCCAUAAACCUCCAGGCAGAGAUCACAAAACUAACAGCUCUUUCUGCAAAUCUGGACUCUCUCCUGCACCUUCUUCACCGUCCAGGCCUCCCUGUCAUCCGUCCUGGGGACCUCAGAGAUCUCUUCAUUUCACAGGUGAAGACUUGGCUCAGAGAGGGCAGAGCCCCUGGGUCACACAGCCCGUCUCCAGUAGGGCUGGGGAAAAGAACCCAGGGCGCUCUUGUUGGCAGUGUUUUAAUGACUGGGGGGAGGGAGAGAAUGGCUAAUGAGGCUCUAGGGAUCAGCACAGCCAGCUGCUGGAGGUCCCAGAGGACGGGUGACUCAGCAGGAAUGGGGGAGUCUGAGGGGUUGACAGAGUGCCCAAUUCUCACCUCCUCCUGCACCUUCCAGAGAGACGGGCUGCAGGGAGUGAUUGAGUGGAUGAACAUGACUAGAGGGACCCAGUCUUCUCCUCAGCAGCUGCUUGAGGACAGUAUUAGCGGUCCCCUCAAUCCCCCCCCCAACACAUGCACACAUGCACUGACCUGCAGGGGCCAGAUCCCGGUGGACCCGGGGACACAGCUUCCAGGGGCUGUCUUGCCAUGUCCCUUCCCAGAUCUGCCUGGAUUCAUGCCAGGCCACCCUCCACAAUUUGCUGAGGGAGGCCCCAGAGUCCAGGGCACCCAGAGUGCUAACUAGCCCCUGGGGGUACAGGGAGAACAGCAUGCUGUGUGGGGGAUACUACUCUCUGCCCAUACCUAGGGCCCUGUGGCGGCCACAGGCAGCACUGCUUAUGCAGAGGCACUGGGGUGAGAAGGAGUAGGGUGCAGUAGUGAGGGCUCCACAGAGGGUGGAAGGGCUGCAGGGGAAGGCAGACCAGCAGGGAUGCCAUGAGGGCCUCAGAUGCCAGGCUGCAGAGGUGGACGGGCUGGCCAGCUCCUCUCCCCAGCCUCCUACUGUAAAAUGGGAGAGGAUCCCAGCCCUGCUGAUUCAUCCACUCACUCCAUGGCAAGACAGCCACUGACAGCUCUGUCCUGGGGCCCACCCGGGCCUGGCCUCUGUGCAGGCUAGCACUCAGUAUGCUUAGUGCCACACUCGGCCCAGGAGAAAUGACCCAGCCCUGGGCUCAGAGACCCCACAGUGGGUGGAUGGAAAACAGUCAUUUAAAUACAACUGUGAAGGGUGCUGUGGAGGAGGGGCUCGAGGUCCCCAGUGUGGGAUGGGGUGGUCAUGGAACGUUUCCCUAUCUAAGUGGGAAAAGUGAGAGCCACCAGGAAAAUGGCGGGGGUGGGGGGGGAGAGGAAUUAUGCAAAGACCCAGAAGGAUGAAGAAGACUGUUGGAUUAGAGGAGGUUAAAGACACAGACAGGCUUGGACAUGGUGGCUCAUGCCUGUAAUCCCAGCACUUUGGGAGGCCAAGACAGGAGGAUCACUUGAGGCCAGGAGUUCAAGACCAACCUGGGAAACACAGUGAGACCCUAUCUCUACAAAAAAAAAAAAAAUUAAAAAAAAUUAGCCGGGCAUGGUGGUGCACAGUUGUAGUCCCAUCUACUCAGGAGACUGAGGUGGGAGGAUCGCUUGAGCCCAGGAGGUGGAGGCUGCAGUGAGCUAUGAUUGCACCACUGCACUCCAGCCUGGGCAACACAGCAAGAUCCUGUUUGUAAAAACAAAACAAAACAAAACAAAAAACCCAGCUUGAGAUGGCCAGGGAUUUCCAGAGGCCCUAGGCAGACCGCCUUGGAGAGUAAGGGAGACCCUGAAGAGCUCCCAUGGAAGGGCCAGCAGCCUGGGGCUGGAGAUGCCACCUGGAUGGAUUCCUCCAGCUGUGUGGACUAGGGGACAGGGUGAGGAGAUAAUGGCCUGGACUACAUGGAAGGACGUCGCCCUGAGCCAUUGAAAAGGGCUGUGGGGUCCAUGACCACUCCUGGCUUUCCCUUGACUAUGAUGGAGACAGUAGCUUCCAGUGUAAAAUGUGAGCUCAGUUCCUGACUCGUGUCUAGCGGGUGGUGCCUGGUCUUUGGCUGGCGAUGCUCCAUGUCACCUAUGCCCAGAAACUGGGCCAUGCCCUUUGUGAGGACCUGCCCACAACGUCGUCGUUCCCGCAGGGUCCCCUGGGAACCGGGCUGCCCGAGACCCGGCCCUGCCGGGGUUCCCUGCGCCCCAGACCGGAACCCCCAGGGCUUUGGUCGUUCCCACAGCCGUCCCGCGGGCCCCCUCCACGGUGCGUCGCCUGGGCCCCAGCGGUCGCUAGGCUGCAGCCUGGGGCUCCCGGCCAUCCCGGGCGCUGGCGGCGGUGGAGGCAGCAGGGCGGAUGGCGGAGCCCGGCCGCCCGUGGGCCCAGGCGCGUAGUGCGUACAGAGCCAGCGAGGUGCUGCGGCGCGGCACGGGCCGCCGGCGGGAUCCGGGGCCGCAAUCCAAUGGGCCGGGCCAGGAAGACGCCCGAGCCCCGGGCCGGAUGGCUCGCCUGCGCGGCCAGCUCCGGGCCGAAGCGGCUUCGCGGUCCGAGGUGCCGCGGCUGCUGAAGCUGGUGGAGCGUGCGGGGGCCGGGGCGGCCGGGCGCGGGCGAGAGGACCGGCGCGCACAGCCGCGGGCUCCGUGUGCUCGGUAUGCGGGGAGCCCCGCGGCGGGGCCACCUACCCGGCGGGGGUCCUGGAGGUGAGCGAGCGGCGGCUGCAGGAGGGCCUGGCGGCAGUGCGCGAGGAGCUGGGCGCCGGGAUUGAGGCGCUGCGCGCGGAGCUUCGAGCGGAGCUGGAUGCCCUGCGCGCGCUGCUGCCGCCGCCGCCGUCCCCGCCUGCCCGCCGCGAGCCCCGCGCCGUCCCCCGCGCCGCGCCCCGCGGCCCGACCCUGCCGCGGACGCUCGGCACCGUGAGCGCCCUGGUCGCCGCCUCCAGGCCCGCAGACGACGCCCCGGACGGCCCAGCAGAAUGCGGAGCGCACCGAGCCCCGGCCAGGAAGAACCACAAGAAGAUGCCAGUGCCGCCUGGGGCCCCGCAAGGUGGCGGGGACUGAGGGCGGCCGCACAAGGGCAGCCUAGGCGAGGUGCGGAAGGCGUCGCGCUGGCUACUCUGGUACCCCCAGGACGGGGCAAGUGAGCAGAUCGGUCCCCCUCGUGGAGCGUGGCUCUGAGUCAAAAGGGUGCCCGGGUGCCGCCAGUUAGGGCUCCGGUACUGGAAGGAGGGGGUGGGCCACGUGCGUCUAGGGAGUGCAGCUGGCAGCCGGGGUCCUUGCCAGAGACUGAGUCCGGCUAGAGAACAGGGUGGAGCCCCUUUGGACCUUAGAGCUGGGCCUUUGGGCCUUGGGUCUGGGUGGGCCUUUGGGCCUUGGGUCUGGGUCAGCCUUUGGGCCAGGGCUGGGUCAGCCUCCAGGGAACAGCCGAGACUCCUCUUCCUUGGGGUGACUGCAGGUUCUUUUUCUUGCAAGGUCUCAGUGAGGAGGCAGGGUCUCCACGCACUGGAAUAGUGUCAAACCACACACAAGAGCACAGAACCCAGGGACACAGGGCGGCUGAGACACUCAGCUGGUGAUGGUCCUCAGGAUGGUGUCAACCAGUAUGUAAUCACAUUCCACAGGGCACCAACUGGACAGAGGCCUCCGGUCAGCCUCACUCUGACUGCAACCCCCUCUCACUGGACAGCAUCACCUGGACACAGAGCCUCACCUAGUCUGUGUCCCAUGGACACAACUUUGCUUUGGACAGUGACACCAAGAAUACUCACCCCUUUACUUAGCCAGACCACAGGCAGCCACCUGGACACAAACAUCUCUCCAGAGUCAGCCUCCACACAGACUCCACAGCAGAACUCCCAGGGAGGCACUGGGGCAUGGCUUCAGAGCACCAGGCAGCGCUCCGCGGUGCCUAGCACCCGCUCAGCCAGGGCAGCCUGCAGCGGAGCUUGGAGCCAGCAGCUUCUCAUCUCUUGGCCUCGGGAAAUGUAGCUGGAGUCAUCAUUUAGCAGAGCACGGUGUCCCUGGGUUGGCCACCCAGCUUAGUUUUAAAAUAAAAUAAUGUAAUCUUGGCCUAAUGGUGGAAUUUCUGACUGCUAGAUGUUCUCCUUCCAUCUGACCAGGGGAUUCAGACACAAUGUAUAGGAUGAGGGUGGGGGCCCUUCUCCCUCUGAGAGGAACCUGGAGAGGCCCGGGUUCUGCUGAGGUAGGAGAGGGUCACUCAGAGGGCUCCCACGGAACAGACAGGCACACUGAGGCCUCAGUGGGAUUAGGGCAGGAAAUGCCCCUCUUGCAAUGGGGGACCACGCCGGGUCACGCACCCACCCCCUCCAGGCUACAUUAGGCUAAGGUCACUCUGUGCAUUAUUUCAUUAUUUCACAUGGAGGGUCGCCCACGGUUGACAGAACCACAGGCUGAGCCCCAGGCCCAUCAGAGCGCAGUGCACAAC
rnacentral:lncRNA from 1 species